UCGAACGCGAAAGUUCCCUUCGGGGAGCGAGUAGAGUGGCGCACGGGUGAGUAACACGUGGGUAAUUUACCUUCGGGUGGGGAAUAACAGUCGGAAACGACUGCUAAUACCGCAUGAUGCAGCGGCACCACAUGGUGACAGUUGUUAAAGCGGGGGAUCGCAAGACCUCGCGCCUGAAGAGAAGCCCGCGGCAGAUUAGCUAGUUGGUAAGGUAAUGGCUUACCAAGGCGACGAUCUGUAGCCGGCCUGAGAGGGCGGUCGGCCACACUGACACUGAAUAACGGGUCAGACUCCUACGGGAGGCAGCAGUCGGGAAUUUUGGGCAAUGGGCGAAAGCCUGACCCAGCAACGCCGCGUGAAGGAUGAAGUAUUUCGGUAUGUAAACUUCACAAGAAUGGGAAGAAUAAGUGGGGGAUAAUACCCCCCAUGAUGACGGUACCAUUUGUAAGCUCCGGCUAACUCCGUGCCAGCAGCCGCGGUAAUACGGGGGGAGCAAGCGUUGUUCGGAUUUACUGGGCGUAAAGGGCGCGUANGCGGCGCAACAAGUCNCUUGUGAAAUCUCCGGGCUUAACCCGGAGCGGUCAAGUGAUACUGUCGUGCUAGAGUGCAGAAGGGGCAACUGGAAUUCUCGGUGUAGCGGUGAAAUGCGUAGAUAUCGAGAGGAACACCUGCGGCGAAGGCGGGUUGCUGGGCUGACACUGACGCUGAGGCGCGAAAGC
rnacentral:rRNA from 1 species